CAACAAUUGUAACAUUAGAUCAUGAAACAUCGUUUCACCUAUUGAGCGUAACUUGCACCUGGAAAUCGCCAUGCUAGGCUCAGUAACCAUUUGGAUUAUAGGUCUCAUUCUGUCGCAGUUUUCGAUAUGCCUAAAAGUACGAAAAUACAGAUAAAUAGGAUUUACCAUUAUAGUAAUAACUAAUCUCCGAGCUCAAAGACAAAAACCAAGACAACAUCAAAAUUGUCGAGAAAAAUUUUCAGUGUCAUGAGAAUAUGUCAAGUACACUAAGUGUUGAAUACGUAAAAAAAAUUUAACAAUUUAUAUUAUAACACUUUGCAUCCUGUGCCGUUUUCGUGACACACUGAACACUUCCUCUGAAAUGGGCACAUUGAACACUUCCUCCA
rnacentral:lncRNA from 1 species